rnacentral:rRNA from 1 species
AGCAGCCGCGGUAAUUCCAGCUCCAAUAGCGUAUAUUAAAGUUGUUGCAGUUAAAAAGCUCGUAGUUGAAUUUCGGGAUCAAUAUGUCGGUCGUGCUUCGGUACGUACUGGCGUUAUUGGUUUCUCCCUUCUGAAGAACCGCGAUGUCAUUAAUUUGGUGUCGUGGGGAAUCAGGACUGUUACUUUGAAAAAAUUAGAGUGUUUAAAGCAGGCUCGCGCUUGAAUACAUUAGCAUGGAAUAAUGAAAUAGGACGUUUGAUUCUAUUUUGUUGGUUUCUAGGAUCGACGUAAUGAUUAAUAGGGAUAGUUGGGGGCAUUAGUACUCAAUUGUCAGAGGUGAAAUUCUUGGAUUUAUUGAAGACUAACUACUGCGAAAGCAUUUGCCAAGGAUGUUUUCAUUAAUCAAGAACGAAAGUUAGGGGAUCGAAGACGAUCAGAUACCGUCGUAGUCUUAACCAUAAACUAUGCCGACUAGGGAUCGGAUGAUGUUAAUUUUUAAUGACUCAUUCGGCGCCUUACG